rnacentral:rRNA from 1 species
UACGUAGGGGGCAAGCGUUAUCCGGAUUUACUGGGUGUAAAGGGAGCGUAGACGGUUAUGCAAGUCUGAAGUGAAAGCCCAAGGCUCAACCAUGGGACUGCUUUGGAAACUGUAAAACUGGAGUGCAGGAGAGGUAAGCGGAAUUCCUAGUGUAGCGGUGAAAUGCGUAGAUAUUAGGAGGAACACCAGUGGCGAAGGCGGCUUACUGGACUGUAACUGACGUUGAGGCUCGAAGGCGUGGGGGGCAAACAGG